GACGAACGCUGGCGGCGUGCUUAACACAUGCAGGUCGAACGGAAAGGCCCUGCUUUUGUGGGGUGCUCGAGUGGCGAACGGGUGAGUAACACGUGAGUAACCUGCCCUUGACUUUGGGAUAACUUCAGGAAACUGGGGCUAAUACCGGAUAGGAGCUCCUGCUGCAUGGUGGGGGUUGGAAAGUUUCGGCGGUUGGGGAUGGACUCGCGGCUUAUCAGCUUGUUGGUGGGGUAGUGGCUUACCAAGGCUUUGACGGGUAGCCGGCCUGAGAGGGUGACCGGCCACAUUGGGACUGAGAUACGGCCCAGACUCCUACGGGAGGCAGCAGUGGGGAAUAUUGCACAAUGGGCGGAAGCCUGAUGCAGCAACGCCGUGUGCGGGAUGACGGCCUUCGGGUUGUAAACCGCUUUCGCCUGUGACGAAGCGUGAGUGACGGUAAUGGGUAAAGAAGCACCGGCUAACUACGUG
rnacentral:rRNA from 1 species